GGUGAUCAACACUGAGAUCCUCACAGGCCCCUUUGCUGCAUCUGCUAAAACCUCUUUAAUUCACUCAGUGAAAAUUAUGAUGGAAAAUCCCUGGAACUUCACAAAAUUUCUAUUUUGAAGGUUUGAUUUCUUCCUGUGCUCAGGAUGAGUAGAUGAACCUCAUGCUUUACUUAUUGAAAGUUGAUGCAUGAAGAAAAUAAAUAUCAGAGUUUAGGAUGAGGACAGAUGAAAAGAUAACUACUAUUGGAAUUUACCUGGGGAGUGACAGGAAAUGCUUGCAUAUGUGGUUUACAGAGUGGAAUGUUGAAAUGGGACUAAUUAUCAAAUCCAUCAUCCAUUCUGCUUACCCUUUUUAAAGGGGCUGUCUUCCCUCCCUGGAUGCUGCCUUCCAGAACUGAACCCAGUGACCUGUUGAAGAGUUGGAUGAAAGUUUUU
rnacentral:lncRNA from 1 species